GUAGGUGAACCUGCGGAAGGAUCAUUAACACUAUUUUACAAAACAAUUAUGUGCCUUGAGCAGCAAUGCUCUUCGUCACUUUUUGUUUUUCCCAACCAAAUACCCAAACUUUAUGAAAGUGCUGGUUGAUUUCGCAUUUAUCCGUCCAACGAUAAAUGAAAAUCACUUUUUCACUUCUUUUUCUUUAUUAACCCCAAACUCUUUCAUUGCUAAUGCAAAUGACAAUAACAAAACAAUAACUACUUUAACG
rnacentral:misc_RNA from 1 species